GCCAGAUUUAGGCUCUGGUCCGAAAGGGCGUGGGUUCAAAUCCCACAGCUGUCAAUUUCUGAUUAUUUUUUUGUUUUCUAAACUGAUCCAAAAGGAAAUCGAAAAUCAAUGGUUACCACACACAAAACAUCAACUUAUUUUAACGUUGCUGGUUAACUGUGUUCCAAACUGGUCUCGGUCUAAUUCUUGAAUUUCAUAUUUUUCACUCACCCUUCAUCAAUGGCACUCUCAGUUUGCAGUGUUGGCCCUUGGAAUCUUAACCCCAAAGCAUUAUCAACACCAUCUUUUUCCUUCAAGUCUCUCAAAUUCCCUCCCUUUUGGCCAACCCAAAAGGUGAAGAUGGGUCCUCUGAGUGUGUCUCCGAUGGGGUUUGGAACGUGGGCAUGGGGCAAUCAGUUUCUCUGGGGAUACCAGGAAUCCAUGGAUGAUGAGCUCCAACAAAUCUUCAACAUGGCUCUGGACUACGACAUCAAUCUCUUUGACACUGCUGAUUCUUAUGGCACUGGAAGGUUAAACGGUCAGAGUGAGAAGCUUCUGGGGAGGUUCAUUCGAGAGUUUCAAGAGAAAAAAGGGAGCAAACGUGACAUAGUGAUUGCUACUAAGUUUGCUGCAUAUCCAUGGCGCCUUACACCAGGGCAGUUUGUGAAUGCUUGCAGGGCGUCACUAGAUAGAAUGCAAAUUGAGCAAAUUGGGAUAGGACAACUACACUGGUCAACUGCAAAUUAUGCUCCUUUGCAGGAAUUAGCUCUUUGGGAUGGUUUAGUGGCAAUGUAUGAGAAGGGUUUGGUUAAAGGUGUUGGAGUAAGUAAUUACGGACCAAAGCAGCUUCUAAAGAUACAUGAUUAUCUGAAAGACCGUGGAGUCCCCUUAUGCUCAGCCCAGGUGCAGUUUUCUUUGCUCAGCACGGGGAAAGAUCAACUAGAGAUCAAGAGUAUAUGUGACUCUCUGGGUAUCCGAAUGAUUGCUUAUAGUCCUCUGGGACUUGGAAUGCUUACUGGGAAAUACUCACCAUCUAAACUUCCAAAUGGUCCAAGGGCGUUGCUAUUUAAACAAAUACUUCCGGGACUAGAUCCUUUAUUGAGUUCCCUCAGAGAUAUUGCAAAUGAACGGCGGAAAACCAUGUCACAAGUGCGUGGAAAAUGACAAUGCUGACCGACUACUUGACCAGCCUUGCCCGAACAGCACACUUUAUCACCAUCUCAUUCUUUCAUUUAUCAUGUCAGGUAGCCAUAAAUUGGUGCAUUUGCAAAGGUACAGUUCCAAUUCCUGGAGUUAAGUCAAUUAAACAAGCGGAGGAAAAUUUAGGUGCUCUCGGUUGGCGCCUAUCCUCAGACGAGUUGCUUCGGUUGGAUUAUGCAGCAAACGAAUCACCUCGAAGAAUGAUUCAAAACAUUUUCCAAACCAGAUAAAAUAUGAAGCGAGACCUCAGCACAAGGUGCGACAGAGAAAAGGCUUAUUUUCACUCACUGAAGGUCACAUUUCUUUAUCAUCCUGGUAUCAAGAAAGGCGAAUAGCGGCCAAUGGAUCCGUUUCAUUUUUAAGAGAAUUGCAAACUGAUUAACCUGAUUCAGGAUGCCAUGAUAUUACAUUUAGGUUCUUGUGAUAGGCCAUUGAAAUAAAGAAGAAGCCGCGAUGCCACAUCUACUUUUGGACGGUAUAAAGCAUUGCUUUUGUACUUAAUUUGUUAAAAAUCAUACUGACUUA